GGGAGGGGGCAACGAAUUGCCAGUCCGUUGCCGAGGUUAGCGCGCAAGUCGGGAAGUGGAUUAGCGGCGGACGGGUGAGUAACACGUGGGUAACCUGCCUCAAAGUGGGGGAUAGCCUUCCGAAAGGAAGAUUAAUACCGCAUAACAUAAGAGAAUCGCAUGAUUUUCUUAUCAAAGAUUUAUUGCUUUGAGAUGGACCCGCGGCGCAUUAGCUAGUUGGUAAGGUAACGGCUUACCAAGGCAACGAUGCGUAGCCGACCUGAGAGGGUGAUCGGCCACAUUGGAACUGAGACACGGUCCAGACUCCUACGGGAGGCAGCAGUGGGGAAUAUUGCGCAAUGGGGGAAACCCUGACGCAGCAAACGCCGCGUGGGUGAUGAAGGUCUUCGGAUGUAAAGCCCUGUUUUCUGGGACGAAAUGACGGUACCAGAGGAGGAAGCCACGGCUAACUACGUGCCAGCAGCCGCGGUAAUACGUAGGUGGCGAGCGUUGUCCGGAUUACUGGGCGUAAAGGUGCGUAGGCGG
rnacentral:rRNA from 1 species